AUAUCAGUCAUGCAUAGCAUAUCAAUAAGCGGAGGAAAAGAAACUAACAAGGACUCCCUUAGUAACGGCGAGUGAAGCGGGAAGAGCUCAAAUUUGAAAUCUUCAAGGUUCUACCUUGACGAAUUGUAGUUUAUAGAAGUGUUUUCUGUUAGUAGAGUGGCAAAAGUUCUUUGGAAUAGGACAUCAUAGAGGGUGAGAAUCCCGUAUUUGGUCAUUCUUUCUAGCUUUGUGAUACACUUUCAACGAGUCGGAUUGUUUGGGAAUGCAGUCCAAAAUGGGUGGUAAAUUUCAUCUAAAGCUAAAUAUUGGCGAGAGACCGAUAGCGAACAAGUACCGUGAGGGAAAGAUGAAAAGAACUUUGAAAAGAGAGUUAAACAGUACGUGAAAUUGUCAAAAGGGAAGCGUUUGACACCAGUGUUGUUUUUCCGAAAAUCAAUUACGAAUGUUUUAUUUUUGAAGAGUGUUAUGACUUCAUCGGCUUGCUUCCUUUCUUUAUCGAAACUUUCUUAAUGCACUUUUCGGUUAACAAGUCAACAUCAGUUUCUUUUGUUGUAAAAGGGUAUGAGGAAGGUGGCUUUCUUUUCGGAGAAAGUGUUUAUAGCCUUGUGCCUCUGCAAUCGGAGAGAUUGAGGUCUGCAGCGUAGAUCCUUCGGGGUUAGAUACAUUUGUGCUAAGUUAUAGCUUUUCAUAGACAACUUGUUGACUAUGUUUAGUCUUGUAGCUUACUCGCUUAUGCUAUUUUACCUACGCUUAGGAUGUUGAUCUCUCACAGUCGAGC
rnacentral:rRNA from 1 species